CCUACGGGAGGCUGCAGUGGGGAAUAUUGGACAAUGGGGGGAACCCUGAUCCAGCCAUGCCGCGUGUGUGAAGAAGGCCCUCGGGUUGUAAAGCACUUUCAGUGAGGAAGAACGCCUGGUGGUUAAUACCCAUCAGGAAAGACAUCACUCACAGAAGAAGCACCGGCUAACUCCGUGCCAGCAGCCGCGGUAAUACGGAGGGUGCGAGCGUUAAUCGGAAUUACUGGGCGUAAAGCGCGCGUAGGUGGCUUGAUAAGCCGGUUGUGAAAGCCCCGGGCUCAACCUGGGAACGGCAUCCGGAACUGUCAAGCUAGAGUGCAGGAGAGGAAGGUAGAAUUCCCGGUGUAGGGGUGAAAUGCGUAGAGAUCGGGAGGAAUACCAGUGGCGAAGGCGGCCUUCUGGACUGACACUGACACUGAGGUGCGAAAGCGUGGGUAGCAAACAGGAUUAGAUACCCUAGUAGUC
rnacentral:rRNA from 1 species